GUGUUUUGUGCAUAUAUAUAAUAUAUAAUAUGUAGUAGUAGUAGUGUGUAGUAGUAGUGUAGUAGUAGUGUUUUUUUUCUUGUUUUCCGUGUGUGUGUAUAUAGUAUUAGUCGUGUAGUGUAUGUAGUAGUGGUGUGUCGUGUAUAUUCUGCAGUGUGUUUCUCCUAGUAGUGCAUGUGUGUCGUGUGUAUAAUAUGUAGUGUAGUGUGCAUGUGCAUGUCUAUGCUGUAGUAGUAGUGUGCAUAUGUAUAUAUAGGUAGUAGUGCAUAUAUAGUAGUGGUAGUAGUGUUUUGGUUUUUGUAGUUUCCGUGUGUAGUGUAUAGUAUUAGUAUUCUAGUAGUAGUGUGUGCAGAUAUGUAGUAUAUAUAGUAGUAUGUAGUAGUGUUUGUAGUUGUGGUAGUGUGGGAGGGAUAGUGGGGGAGGUUGAUUAGGAGUGGGGGAUUGUGGGUGGUUUGGGUAGAUUUAGGAUUUGACUUCUUCUUCUCUUUUUUUAAAAAAAAAUAAAUAAAUAAAUAAAUAAAUAAGUAAUAAAAAUAAAUAAAUAAAAAAUUUAUUUUAAUAUGACUUUAUUUUGUAGUUUUCCAAACUUUAAAAGCAAUCUUGUAAAAUAAGAUACUAAAUGACGUAAAACAUUCAGUUUGGUCAAAAAUUAGGUGUUUACAUAAUUAUUUUUAAUUUUUUUUUGUUCUCACCGGUGUCAAGUACCCAUUGUAGGGGUAACACUCUCAACAAGAUUUUCUUCAUACGCAGGGCUCGAACCUCAGACCUCUGGUUAAGGGUAGAGUAGUCCCGCCACUACAUCACAACACAUAUUGAUUUUUUUAAUUCAACUAUGUACAUAUGAAAGGCUUACUUCAAAAAGAUGUAAAAUAUUUUGAUUGUACAGAUUGAGAAAAAAAUGAAAGACCAUAUCAUUAUUUCGGAUAAAGAUAGAGAUCUACAUUUUUUUCUAAUCUAAGUAUAAAUAUUAUCUACAAUUUCAUUAAAAUAAGAAACUAACAAUUUAUAGAAUUAAUAUUUUUAUACAUAAUCAGUAAAAUAUAUUAAUUUUUUAAUUAAAUAAUUUCACUAGUUUUAAAUAAGAUAUUCAAAACACAAACGUCAUCAUUGAAUGCAAAGAUGAUAACAAGUCACCCAAUGAAUCAUUUCUUGUUUAUGUUCGGGAUGUUAGUGCUAAGAUUUCAUCGCUCGAAUCUGUCCUUGUGGUUCGUGAGUUUCCUAAUGUAGUUUCGCCCGACCUACAUGGCACCCAGUAUCCCUACUUGUUUGAGUCCUCAAGUACAUCCUUAUGCUUUACUUUUGCGGAUGAAAGUCCUUUUUGUAUUGGGUGUUAUAAUGACCCUCACGGUCAUUUAUCUGUAUUUUCAUAUAUUUUCGGUAUCCAGGGAUUUUCUAUAACUUUUCUAAGUUAUUUAUGACUUGUUGGGACUGAUAGUUCGAUUCUUAAGCGGUUCUUUUGAAUUUUUGUAGUAUCUAAUAUAUUGUAUAAUAUUUUAUUUAAAUUGACAUUUGAUUAUUAUGGUUACUAUGAGUUUCAAUUUGAGCCUGACAUCUGAUUAUAGUUGUGGUUUCUCUGAGUUCUGGCCCGAGUCUAGUAUCUGAAUGUGGCCUCUCGUUUUACCCACUAUGUCCAGUUUGAAUCUGGCACGUAUCCUUUUGUUAUUAUCUAUUACUACUGGUUCGGGUUCAGUAUCUGGCCUCUCGUUACUACCCAUUGGUGCCGAUUCAAGUUCGGUGAAUAUCUGGAUGACUAUCAUGAUUUCUUAGGACUGGCUCAAUUAUAGAUUAUUUACGUUUAUUUUCUUUAAUUGCUACUUAUGUGUCCCACCGGCUUAUGGGGGUACAGUUGGGUUAAUUAUCUUUUUCAGUGUGCUCAGCAGGCAUGUGGGGGCCCAGUUAGUUUAUGUUUGUGUGUCUAGCAGGCUUAUGGGGGACCAGUUAGGUUAUGUUUAAUUUUCUUGUAAUUACUGCGUUAUUUAUUUUUUGUAUCGCUUAUAUUUAUUCCUUUAUCUCAUUAGCAUAGCUUGGCAGUUAUUUACCUUUCUGUCCUUUUUUACUGUUGACUUAGAUUACAUCCUUGCAUUGUAGUUAUACCUUUUCUGUAUUGAGCUCAUUCGGCCGAUGAUGCCUACUGAGUACCCGUUGCUUUGAUACUCAUACUACACUUCUGCAUAUUUUUUCUGAUGCAGAUUCGAGUAGUAUCAGCCGACAUUGACGUGAUUCCUACCUUUCAGUAAUGAUUAAGAGCAGGGUGAGCUUACUGUUGUCCGAGGCUGAUCCUACUCUAUCUAUUCUAGUUUAGUCUUUUGUACUCGAGACUGCUUGUAUAUAUUAUGUAAAUUUUGGAUUCUAUCUAGUACUCUAGUAUCUUUAGUAGUGGCUUUAGUACCGACCUUACCAAGUCUUGGGAGCAAUUCAUUUAUGUAUUUGGUCCUUUUUCCUUCCUUCGUUUUAAUAUAUGGUAUAUAUUUCCCUUCUAUUUGUCGGUUGUUAUUACUAUGUCUAUCAUUAUAUGUGAUCUUUAUGAUUUCUGCCUAUUAGCCUAUUACCUAUUAUUCCGAGCUCUUGGCUUACCUACUAGGGGAUAAGGUAGGUGUCAUCAUGACUUAAGAAAUUGGGUCGUGUCAUGUCUAAGUAUAUUCGUCUUGAGUAGAGUGUCAAUUGACCAAUUUUAUUUGAAAUGAUUCAAAUUAAGACAUUAUUAGUAAUAACUACAUUGAUUUAACUAAAAUUAAAGAUGAAUUGAUAAGUUUAAUUACAAUUUAAAUUAUUCUCAUAUUAAUUACAUGAUCAUCUUAGUAUGUUUGUCUUAAGUAGAGUGAUUGGAUAAGUGACCUAUUUAUAAAAGAUUGAAUGAGUGAGUAGUGUAGUGUGUUAGGCAAAAAAUCACGACCGUUCACCUCUUUUUUAAUAAUUAUAUCUCUAAAUUAAAUCAAACUUGGUCACUUUUCGAUUAUUUAAAUUAAAAAAGUAGAUUUAAAUAUAAAAAAGAUUAAAAGUCAUAACUUUUCACCUUUUUAAUAUUUUAGUUAUUUAAUUUAAAUAUCUACAAAAUUGUGUUUAGCAUAUUUUUUAUAUUAUUUAUUUAUGAAUCGUUGUUUUAAUUAAAUGAUCGAAAAGUCAUGGCCUUGAGUUCUUCCAACAGAUGAUCUAUCAGUUGCAACAUAUGAUCCAUUUGUUGCAACAGAUGAUCCCUUUGUUGCAACAUAUUACUCAUUUUUUGGAAUAAUUGAUUCAUUUUUGCAACAUAUGGUUCAUCCAUUGCAACAGAUGGCCCAUCUGUUGCAAUAGAUGGUUCAUCUAUUGUAACAGAUUAUUCAUCUGUUGCAACAUAUUGUUCAUCUGUUGAAAAAAUAAAUUAGUAGCAAGAUUUAUUCAAUAGAAACAAUAACAAAUCAUUAUUUAUGUUUUUUUUUUGGUUUCCCAUCUGGUGUCUGGUGCCCACAUUGGAGCCUCGACUAAUCUGGAUCACGUGUUGUAGGGCCUAUUAAGGUGGCAGCGCUUCCGACAAAGUUUUGUUCAUACCCAGGGUCGAACCCUUGACCUCUGGUUAAGGGUGGAGCAUCCCCAUCCACUGCACCACAACCCAUGUUGGUAAUCAUAUUUAUCAAUACACCAUUUUUACCAAGACCAACAACUUAUCAAUUUAGUUGUUACUAAUAAUAGCUUAAUUUUGAAUCAUUUUUCAAAUUAAAUUGGUCAAUUGAUCACUCUCCUCGAGAUAAAUACACUUAGGCCCUAUUUUUUUGCACUUAAUGGAGGUCUGAAUCUAAAUAGUUCAGACUUCAGCCCAUUAAGUGCAUUUGUUUUUUUUUUUAAAGAGCCUCUUAAUGUAUCUGAAAAUAUCUGAAUAGAUAAGAUAUGAAAAGAAUUCUGAAUAGCAUUCAGACUCUUUUUAAAACAUAAUCCCUAACUCUCUCACUUCAUUAUUUCCUCUCUUUUUUCACGUUAUCUCUCUCCCUCUCUUUUCACGUUAUCUCUCCCUCUCUUCAUGUUUCUCUCUCUCUCUCUCUCUCUCUCUCUCUUUCUCUUCACUUGCUUUCCUUCUCUUUUAGGUAUGAUUCACCAAAAUAUUUUAUAAAUAUUUUAGUUAUCAAUUUCUUUAUUCAUUAUUUGCUAAACUCUAAAUUUCUACUUUCAAUUUUUUGUUUUAAUUAUAAAAUUUGUAGUUCUUUGGAUAAUAGAAUCUUAUAUGUGCAUGUUCAUAAUGUAACAUUGAACUUACUAAUGAUAUUUUCACUCAGAUUUCAUGGUUAACAAAUAAACAUGUGUCCGUUCUUGUAUUAAUUAGUUAUUCAAAUACUUUAAUAUUUAUGCAUCUAAGUCAAAAUUAUAUCUGAUUAAUUAUUUUAGUUUGUUCGAUCAGUUUAAUUGAUAUAUUACUUUAUGUUGAAUUUAAUUUAUUAUAAUUACAUCAUAUCACGAUAAUUUUUAAUCGAUAUAUCUUUUUUUAAUAAUUUAAAUUAACAUAAUAUAUUUAUCUUUAAAUAUUUUAAUUAUCACUUAAACAAUAUUUUUGUUGUUUAAGUUAAUACUUUAUGCAAUAUUUUUUUAUAUAAUAUAAUAUUUUAUUAUUUUUUUAAAUGUGAAUUUCAUAUUUAUUAUAAAUAAAUAAAUUACGUACAUUUAGAUGUUAAAAAACAAAUAGUCUUAAUCAUUCAGUAUUCAGAUCUAGAAACAGCAUCUUAAUCAUUCAGAUAUCCACUCAGAUUCAAAUGUCUUAAUCUUACAAAAAACAAAUGCACCCUUAGUUGAUAAUGUAAUGUAAUACCCCAUAUUUUUUCUAGCUUAAAUUUGUUCCUAGAAUGUUAAGAGAUAGCUUCAAAAAAAUAAAUAAUAGUUAUUCCAUGAGAAAUUUUCAAGAUUUUGACUUUUCAUUGUGUAGGAAAUUGAAUAAGCUUUCCAUCGAUACCAAAUUCGCCUAAAUCCGACACUCGAUGAAGGAGUUAUGGCAUUUUUAAGUUGACAGUAUGUCAUCUGGACUCUCAAGCACGUCGCGAAGCUAAGAAAAUUAGCAGUUGUCAAAUUUCAGUGAGACUCCGCGAUUCCACCGUAUCACGGAGGAUUCCCAUUUCAUAAUUGUCAAUUUUCAGCAAGCCAAUGUGAUAGUAGCGCGUUGCGACAGUGGCCAAAAUGGAAAAACUAUAGGGCACCACGAUAGCUCCGCAUUGCAGAGAAAGUCCGGUUCCCACUCAUCCUUUUCCAGUGAUCCACCGGAUUAUGGUACGUCGCGGUGGCCAGCCAAAUCGGCACUUUUGCUGCUUUUUCAGUAUCAUUUAAAAGCUCAAGGGGGUGUUUUGGUCAAUUCUCAAGCCCCCAAAUCCGUCCAAACAUACAAUUUAACUCUAUUACAAGCCUUCUAUGCUUAUAUUCAUCAAAAUUUCUCUCAACCAAAACCCUAAGCUUCAUCAUUCAACUUCAAGAAUCCCCAAGAUUCCACCAUUCUUUUCCCAAAUCAGUUCAAGAUUCAAAGUUCCCAAUUUAAGGACACCAAGGAUUAUCAUUCAAGAGAACAAAUAGGAUCUCAAAAGCAAGCUUGUUCAUCUAGUUCAUAAUCCAAGGUAUGUGGGAUUUGAACAAGGAUAAUUCUUUCAUCCUUGUUCCCAAAACUUUAUUUUAAUUACAAAUUUAUUGCAACUUAUAUAAUUUUUCAUGAAAUUCAAGUUAGGGUUUAUACUCAUUAUCACUAUUAGUAAGAUUAUGAGAUUUUUCAUGAUUUAGAAGUUGAAUUACGUGAUUAUAUUUAUAUUUCCAUGCAUAUUGUUGAAAUUUCCAGAUUUUAAGUUGAUUUAUGAAUGUUUACAUUAUCAAGCAUGAAUUUUAAGAUGUUUUAACAUGAGAUUGAUGCAUGGGUCAUUACGCCCUAAUUAAGAUUUGCUAUUUUGAGAUUAUUUAUGCUAUGAGCACCCUCAGAUAAGAUUAUCCUCAGAUUUUGAUAAAGAUUUGGCCUUUUGGUCCUAAGCUAAGAUAAAGAAUCUACUUUGUUGUAAACCCUUGUGCUCAUUUUGAAGUGGGUUUCUUAAGAUUUUGAGCAUAAGAAUGAGAGUAGUAUUUAGCACUGACUUGGGUAUGAUUCCAAGGUUUCAUACCCCAAAACUACGUACCACCGUAGGAUUAAGAUUUUUCCCACUUCUACGUGGAUGACUAAGAUUGUGACCACUAAGAUAGAAGUUCUAUUCCGAUGAAAAAGGUAGAACAUCCCUACCUAACAGGGUCCAGACGUGGGACUCCAUGGAUGCUCACAUGGUGUAUGUCGGUUAGAAGAACCUCCCAACAGAUGUUCCCCACUCUUCAACAGUUUAUUGAUUUAAAGAUUUAAGAUAAAAGCAUAUGUUUUGGAAGUUAUGAUUUUAAGAUUUUAAGCCCUAAUAUAAAGUAUUUUCCAGAUUUUAGAAAACUAUGUGUAAAGGCUCACCGUUUUACUCAGAUUAUGCUUUACAGAAAGAUAAGAGUUACAGAUUUUAGUUUUCAGAUUUUAGACUUAGAACUGAGUCCUUUCUACACUUAGAUAGUAUGAUUUAAAGACAUAGUAUUAGCAUAGCUUUUAGAACUAAAUAUUAUUGCUCACUAGAUUUACAAGUAUGGUGUGUUUCUCAUGAUGAUUAUUUUCAGUAUUUCAGAUAUUCUAGCUUAUGUGAGAUAUUUACAUUUAGAAUGCAUUGUUUUACAAAUUAUGAUGACAAGAUGAUGUUCUACUUAUGCAUUUCACCCCCAUAUACUCAGUAUAUCCUCAAAGUACUGAUCCAUAUAUAUGUCUAUAUGUUACAUUAUCUCAUAAUGUAGGUAUAAGCUCAGUUGUAGCACGUAUACUAUAUUCAGCCAAUUUGCAUAUUCCAGCCAGUAGAUGAGGAGUCCUCCUACUUUGGGGACGUUAGUUAGAUGUUAUUGAUAUACUUUAUUUUCUUAUUCAUAUGUAUUGAUUAGUGAUAGUUAGAUUCGCGUCCCUCUUUCGGACUUUAUCAAAAUGUAAAAGUUGUAUUGAUAUUGUAUUUUUCUCAGAUUCCAUCGUUAUUAUGUUUCCGCACAGUAAACUCAGUCGUUAUAUGCAUAUCAUUCAGUUGCUUAUGAGUUAUGCCUGUAGAAGGGUUAGCUUGGGAUCACUUGUGAUCUGAAGCACCGUGUGAUGUCUCGGAAUAGAUUUUUGGGGUGUUAUAUGUAAUUACUAUGAGAUUAAUUAAAAUUGUAAGUGAACUUAUCCAUUCAUCUUUAAUUUUAGUUAUAUCAAUUUAGUUAUUACGAAUAAUGGCUUAAUUUGAUUCAUUUCAGAUAAAACUGGUCAACUAAUCACUCUAUUCAUGGCGAAUACACUUAGUUGAUCAUGUAAUUAUUAUAAGAUUAAUUGCAAUUGUAAGUUCAUCUCUAAUUUUAGUUAAAUCAAUUUAGUUAUUACUAAUAAUGACUUAAUUUAAAUCUAUUCAAAUAAAAUUGGUCAAUUGAUCACUCUACUCAGGACGAAUACACUUAGCUAAUCAUGUAAUUGUUAUAAGAUUAAUUGAAAUUGUAUGUGAACUCAUAAAUUCAUAUUUAAUUUUAGUUAAAUCAAUAUAGUUAUUACUAAUAAUGGCUUAAUGUGAAUCAUUUCAAAUAAAAUUGGUCAAUUGAUCCUUCUACUUGGGACGAAACACUUAGUUGAUCAUGUAAUUACUAUGAGAUUAAUUGAAAUCGUAAUUGAACUUACUGAUUUAUUUUUAAUUUCAGUUAAAUCAACAUAGUUAUUUCUAAUGAUGGCUUAGUUUGAAUUAUUUCAAUAAAAUUGGUCAAUUGAUCACUCUACUCUCGUAUAAUUACCAUGAGAUUAAUUGAAACUGUAAUUGAACUUAUUAAUUCAUAUUUAAUUUUAGUUAAAUCAAUUUAGUUAUUACCAAUAAUGAUUUAAUUUUAACCAAUAGAUGACUAACAUAUUGCAACAGAUGAAUAAUCUGUUGUAAAUGACCAAACAUAUAAAGACAUCUGUUGAAAAUGACCAAACAAAUAUAGACAUCUGUUGCAACAGAUGGCUAACAUUUUGCAAUAAAUGACUCAUCUAUUGAAAAUUACCAAACAGAUAUAGACAUCUGUUGAAACAGAUGACUAAGAUAUUGCAACAUAUGACUCAUCUGUUGGAAAUUAUCAAAUAGACAGGAUAUAUUUUGAAAAAAAAUUUAAAAUACUAAAGCUCAAAUAUUUUUAGGAGUACUCAAACAUUUGUCCCCCUGUCUAAGGUUUUGUCUUAAAGACUUAUCUUCAAUUUUAAAUAAAUUAAUUUAGUUAUUACUAAUAAUUGCUUAAUUUGAAUCAAUAAAUGACGAACCUGUUAUAAACACUUGUUGCAAUAAAUGACUAACUUAUUGCAACAAAUAGUUCAUCUGUUGAAAAACAAUUAAAAUACUAGGAAACUCAAAUAUUUUUAGGAGAACUCAAAUGUUUGUCCCAUUGUCUUAAAGACUUGUCUUUAAUUUCGUUAAAUUAAUUUAGUUAUUACUGAUAAGUGCUUAAUUUGAAUCAGCAGAUGACUAACAUAUUGCAACAAAUGAUUCAUUUGUUGGAAAUUAUCAAACAGAUAGAAAAUUGUUAUAACAGAUGGGUCAUUUAUUAGAAAGCAAUUAAAACACUAGGGAACUUAAACGUUUUAAGAGAACUCAAAUGUUUGUCCCCUUGAUCCUUUUGCAUUUGAUGUAUAGUAUACCAUUUUCAUCUUCUUUAGCUAUUUCAUGAAUUUUUUCAUGUGUUUCACUUAUUCGUUGUACCCCUGUUGAAAUUUUUGAACUUUUUUUAGGUUAAAUUUUGUUCGUAUAUGACUUGGAAAAUACUUCAUAGGUGAUUUUGUAAGUAAAAUUAUGAUUUUUGUUGAAUUUCUUAUUUGGUGUAUCUGCUACUGCUACAAUGGAUAAAACCUGCAAAAUGAAUCCAACAUGUGAGUCAUCUGUUACAACAAGUGAGUAAUCUGUUGCAACACAUGAUUCACCUGUCUAUAAUAUGAAUCCAACAGAUAAGUAAUCUUUUGCAACAUAUGACUCAUUUGUUGCAACAGAUGAGUAAUUUGUUGCAACAUAUAACUCAUCUAUUGCAAUAGAUUACCCAUAUAUUGUUGCAACAUAUGACUCAUCUGUUGCAAUAGAUGGGUCAUAUGUUGCAACAGAUUACUCACAUAUUGGAUUCAUGUUACAUGUUUUAUCCACUGUUAAAAAAAUAGUAGUAGCAGAUACACCUAGAUGAGAAAUUCAACUAAACAUUAUAAUUUUACUUACUAAAAUCACCUAAGUAACACACACUAAGAAAAUCAAUAUUUACCAACAACAUCAAUAUUGUACAAACACAAAUAACAAAAAAUAUCAAAAAAAAUAACAUCAACAAAUCAACAGUUGUUUGUUAGAUUUGGUCACAAAGAUGUCUCUGAAAAAAAUUUAAAUUCAAAUCUCGGUAUUUUUACAACAAUGUUCGACAACAAGAACUGCAGUAACAAUAAAAAAUCAUAUUUCACUCCGAAAAGAGAAGAAAAGGAAUACCACAAAUUAGGGUAUUCUUGAGUCCCCAUUGUAAAUUUAAGCAAUAUAUAUUAAAAUUGUUAACUCAUACUAGAAGAGAAGUUAACUCAAGUUCCUCGGUUUCUUCAUAACUAAAAAGUCCUAAUUUUUUACCUGUGAAAAUUGAAAAGAAACGAUGAAGAACUCAAAGUUUUUAUCACUGUAGAAUGUUGUCACAUCGACUGACGGUUGAAAGUAAAAACAGAAAGGACAAGAACUCAAAACUAUUUGUCGCCGGAGGUUGAAGUUGCAGAAGAUUGAAGGGAGAAAUUUGGAAAGUUCUUGGUUGAGAGAAGUUAGAGAGAGAAACUAUCGAGAGAAAGAUAGGAGAGACAAUUGAUUUGCAGAGAGAGGGGAGUUUUGUGGGUAUGGAUUGAUUUGUAUUUUUUAAAAGAUUAGAAAGUUUUAAAAACAUUAAUUAAGUCCAUAAUUAACUUAAUCAACUUUCCUAAUUAUGUUAGACCCUUUAAGUUGGUCAAUGUCACCAAUCCUUCAUUCAAGACUUAAAUGACACCUUUCCUUCAAUUUUCUCAACAUACCUAGUGCGGCCUAAGAAGAAUAGAAACUUUAUUCCUACCUUAGAAAUUGAGAAAAUCAUUUAAAUUAUCCAUAUAAUUAUUUUCUUGAAUUACUAUGUUUUAGUGUGUUUUGAAAGUAUAAAAUUAAAUUAAGAAUAAUCAUAAAAGUAACAUAACACUAUAAGUUAAAAACCUAUUAAAAUGGGAGAAAAGAUAACAAAAUUAACGAUAUCAUGAAGGACCAAAAAAGUUGAAAAGAAAUAUAUUUUGAAAUAAUAUUUAUUUCAAAAAGAAUAGUUAACUUUUUUCAUUAACUUAAAGUAAAGUAUAUAUUUAUUAUUAUUUCAUUAGAGAAAAUUUAUUAGUUAUUAAUAAUAUAAUUUAUAAAAAGAAAGCAAAAAUCAAAGCAAAAAUCAUAUAUGUAGUAGUACUAUAAGUAAGGAAACAUGAGUUAGAAAAAAAGGUAAACGAAGUGAAAAGGCCAAACAAAACAAAUCUUAAAUUCUACCAAAUCAAAUAAAAAUUUUAAAAAAUAUCAAACUUAAAUCUCUCUCCAAGUGUGGUUUUGUUUUCCAUUUUAGAGUCAAACUCCAAAAUCAUUACCCAAAAAAAAUCAAAAAUUAAAAAGCCUAAAAUUUUUCUCUAAAAUUUUCAAACCUAAUCAAAUAACUUACUCCUCCUACCACUUUAAACACCUAGAUCCCUUCCCCUCUCCCUACUUCUUUCUUUUCUUCGCCUCCUCUCAUCCCUUUUCGCCCCCACCCUUGCGAUCAUAGUUUAUGAUUCCAUUUGAAUUUUUAUGUGUAAUGUUUGUUUAUCAACUUUUUAUUUUUAUAGGUUCUUACAACAUGAAAUUCUUCAAGUAGAUGAGAUAAGUUUUAUAGUAUAAGUAUUGCAUUGGAUUUUAUAUAUUUUAGUUAAUGUAAAGGUAACUUUUUUAUAUGCAUGUGUUCUAAAAGUUGAUAUUGAAAUUUGAUAUUUUUUACUCGUAGAUUAUACUGAUUAUGUUAUUAUUGUUGUAUUGACAAUUGAGAUCUACAUCUAUAUAUUCUAAGUUGCUUUGCACUUUUUCUUGUUUUUAUUUGUUAAAACUUAAGUAAAAGAAUUAUACAAUACAUAUAUAUUUUUUCUCCUUGAACUUCUAUGUAUACACACAUUUACAUAUAUAAUUAGUUGGUCUUGAUUUUCUUGGAGCUAAUAUAUUUUAUCAUUAUUUAUAGGCAUAUUAAUGUAAAAGGAGCAUGCAAAUGACAAAUUAGUACGAAUGCUGAUCAAGUUAAGGUGCACUUGAAGACAUGAAAGGAGGAUCGAAGAAGACUAUGCUGCUUUGAGCUCAAACAAAAUUAUGUCUGAAAAGAAUUAUAUAUUGUGACUAUUCUUAAAAUUAUAAAACACAAUUAUAUGUAACUUGACAAUCGUAUUGGAAUCUCAAAAAUGAAUUCAUAACUACUUUAUGUAACUUCAUUGACGGACAAAGCUAGUGAAAAUUUUUUAAUUUGUAAUAUGUAAUUUUUAAUUUCUUUAGUCAUAUUAAGAAAUUCUUUGAUUAAUAAUGUUUAUAGUUGAAUUCUUCAAUUUAUAGCAAUAAAUAUUGUAGUUUAGCCACAUCCUAUAUAUUAUAAAAAAUAUGGCUAUGCAUUUUCACUUUUAAUACAAAAAAAUUAGCUAUAGUUUUGGUAUUUCAUAGCAAAAAGAAUAAAAUUUUAGCCAUGUAUAAAAAUAUUUGUAGCAAAUAUUUUAGUUUAGAGCUAUAGAUUUUCUAAUUCGUAACUAAAUACAAAUAUUGUUAUCGGAAAAUUAAAAUAUAAAAUAGCCACAAUUUUUAAUUUUCAUAGCAAACAAAUCAAGUCUUUUGCCACAAUAGAACAGAUUGUGGGGAUAUAUAUAAAAAUGGUUGUAGAUUUUAGUUAUUGUGGCAAUAAGGUGAAACUUUUUGCUACAAGUAUAUAAUCUGUAACAAGAACUUUUUAUCAUCAUAGCUACAACACAAUAUCUUUUGUAACUGUAAGUAUUACUCCUUAGCCAGCGGCCAUGUAAAGUCUAUAGCUAACUUUUAGUUACACCGCUUUUUGCUACGGAAGAAAAGAUUGUGGCUAGAGUGUUAAGACACGAAAAUAUUUCAUAUUUAACUACAAGGUAUUCUGUAGUUAUACAUGCCUUAUUUUGUCGUGUGAGUUUCAUACGGUCCAGUCUUGGAUCUGAAAGGUAUUCAUGACUCCAGAUGAGGGGUGGAGUUAGGAUAUCAAAAGGGGUUCAUUUGAAUUCUCUUAAUCGAAAAUUUUCAUUAUAUGUGUGUGUAUCUGUAUAUAUGUCUAUAUAUGUAUAUAUGUAUAUAUAUAUUAGAUUAUUUAUAUAUAUAUAAUAGUAAUAGUUCGAUAUAUUCUCUUUGACUUCUUCGUAUAUUUAUUUUUUCACAUUUUGAAUCUUCUUAGUGAAAAAAUCUUAAAUUUAUAAUUGCUCAAGGUUCAUAUUAGGAAAGUAGAGUGAGGUGAAGAAGGGGCAAUCAUCGACCCGAUAAUUAAUUUGCUCCAACGGAUAAUCACGAUUCUAUAAUCAAAGGAACUUUGUCACUUUUAUAUAUUUAGUAGAGUAAAAUCGACCUUAAAUAAAGGUUAUCUCGAACUCACAUCCUGAAACUAAAUACUUAUGUGAAAAUAUUUAUUAUUCAAGACUUCAAAAUGAAUAUAAACACAAAUAAUAUACUACUUGAGACUUGACAGUCCUAGGGAUGGCAAAUGGGUGGAUUGAAUUGGAUUUAGAUGGAUUGAAUAUAGAUUGAGCUUAAAUUGAUUGGAUUACAAUUCCCCCCAUAUAUUAUAGGGUAAAUUACACAACCCCCAAAAAUCGGGGUCAUUAAUAUAUAAACUUCCAUACCAUUUAAAAAGUUACAUAAAAAUCUCAGAAAUUGAAAAUUGCUCUUAAUACAUGUGUGACACAGACUACAACCGCAAACAGCUUCACCAUUAUCGCCAAAAAUCACGCGAUUUCAUAUUUUAAAAUUUCCUCAUCAAAAAUUUUGGUAAACUUUCUUCCACAACCAUGUUGUUAUUAAUUUAUCAUCAACAUUAAACAACUGAACACAUUAUUGAAGUUGAGAUCUAUUCGAUUUUAAUAUUUUUAAAAUAUUGUUCAAGUUAACUUUAAUAUUAUUCAAAUUUUCAAAUUUAUAUUGUUUCUUAGUUAUAUAAACACAAGUGUCCUUUAUACACCGUUAAUGACUUCACUACCUUCAUUCAAAUUGGCAUUGCCCCAUUAGAAAUUAAUGUUGAUUUUUCGAUGAAUAGAGUAGUUAGUUUUGUUUCGAAUGUUUUUAGCAUAUUUCCGAUGAUUUUAACGAAAAUAGAUCGUAAUAUAAGAAUGACUCUGCUAUGAUGGAGAAAAUUAGAGAAGAUUAUCAUUCAAGAGUUGCAUAUUCAGAAUUAUCAUUCAAGAGUUGCAGAUUUAAACAUGAAAAGGAUGAAAAAGAACAACGCAGAGAAGAUAAACGAGAACUCAAUUAAUUAGAUAACAAAAUCAUGUUUACUAUCAUUUAAUAUAUAAGAUAAUAUUUUAUUUCUCUAGAUACAUUUUAUUUUACUUAAUACAUAUUGUGUUUGUAUUAAAGAUACUCUUUUUAUACAUUUUGAUAUAAAGGAAAUAAUGAGUUGAUACGUUUUAAUUGUGAACCUAUGUUAUAUUUAUUUUUUUCAUGAUACAUCUUUUUGAUGCAUAUGAGAUUUAGUUAAUUUUGUUAUACAUUUAGUAUGUGCACGCGUUACAUCAUAGUCUAUGAAAAACGGUCUGUGUGAUACUGAUAUAACUUUGUUGAUACAUUUUAUAUAUCAAUUAAUUUUUCUUUAUAUUCAUUGCUCAUUACACUUUUAUCUCAUACUAGUCAGAAAACAAUAAAUUUAUCAGUCCACACAGUUUCAGCGAUGUCAGAAUAAUUUAUUAUUUCAAAAAAAUUUAAAUUGCCGAAUAACCACUGUUUCAGGAAAUCUCAAAUCAUCGAACAAUCAUUGUUCCACCGAAAUUCAAAUCGUCAAUAUUGUUAUUAUGUUAAAUUAAAAUACUAGAAAAUUAAAAUUUUAAGAAAAAAAAAAAGAUUAAUGGAGAUGAAAGAAAUUGAGGCAAAUUGUAAAUUGCAAACUGUAGAAAUCAUCUGUCAUCUAGUUCAUUGAAUUGCGAAAAAUGGUAGCGGAAAUUCUUUGUUUUGAGUAUUGAAAAAAAAAUAGAAAUUGAAGGGUGGUGGCGAUAGUAAGUUGUUGAAAAUUGAAACUGAGGGAGUUUUGUUGAUUGUUAAUGGUGUUAAUUGGGGAAGAAGGAGGAAUGGAGGAGCCCAGAUCAUUUUCACGUAAUUUACUCUCCUAAAUAAAUGUGAUUUCUGUUAUUUCCUUAUGUAAAUUAAUAAUUAAUUGAAAAUGUAUCAAAAUAAAUAUGUAUUAGGCUAAAAAUAUAUAUCAAAAAACAUCACUUAUAUCAUUUUAUGUAAUUAAAAAAUUGUGGUAAGAAAUGUAAUUGACUCUUAACUUAUGAGAUUUCUGAAAGUUAUCCUAUAUUACAUGUGUAAAUAUGGUCAAAUAUGAAUUGGGUAAAAAUGAUGGAUAACUUGCACAAAUUUCAUAAGUUAAGGAGCUACUAACAUUUUUUACCACAUGUUUUGCCUAAUUUCAUAAAAUGUCAUAAAUCUCAUUUUGAGAUACAUAUUUCAAGCCUUAAUACAUAUCAUCUUUGAUACAUUUUAAAUCAAUCGAUUAGUUAAAUAAGGAAGUAACAUAAUUGCAUUUAUCUAAUAAAAAAUUUAAAAUUUUAAUUUUUUUAUUAUAGAUAUUUUAGAAAUACUCUCCCAUAUAUAUAUAUAUAUACACACACGCAUAUUUAGUACUGAUGUUAUCUGAUACAUAUGUGUAAUACAUAUAUCUCAUAUAUUAGACUUCUAACAUAUGUAUCAUCCUUAAAUUAUGGGAAGGAAACACUAGUUCUUGAUAUGUACAUUCAUCAGAUACAUAUGUCUGAUGCAUGUAUGUUUGGUACUUGUGAUUGGUAUAUUAAUUCAUUUGAUAAAAAUUGAUGGACUUUGAUAAGAACAACAUAAUUGUGUUCAUAGAUAUUCAUAUGUUUUAUAAACAUGUCCUAACCUACUAGAUACAUAGAAAAGUUAAUAAAUUUAUUGUAUGAGCAUGUAGAUGCAUUCAUAUGUAUCAUGACUAAGCAAAUAUAUUCUUUUUUAUUGUGAUGCAUGUGCAUGCAUGCAUUCAUAUUUAUUCAUAUGCAUCCAUGCAUUCAUAUGCAUGUAUUCAUACAUUCUUUUUUAUAUGUAUCAUGGAUAAAAAAAUUUUUUUUUUUACUAUGAUACAUAUGCAUAGAGAUACAUUUGCAUAUUUCAUGAACAAAUACUAAUAAGCUUCAUAUUACAUAUGAAUUUGUAGACUAUAAUACAUUAGCAUGCAAGCACAUUUAUAUGUAUCAUGAACAAAAAAUUACAUUCUUUUUUACUAUGAACAUAUGUAUAGUGUUACAUUCGUAUGUAUCAUGAAAUUUAUUUUAAUGAAGUGAUAUUCUUCUCCAUCUUUCCCACUAUCCAUUAAUUCUAUCAAUCUUCAUUGAAAAGCAUUCAAAUACACCAACAACUCCUCCACCGCCACCUUCGUCUUUACUGUCGUUCUCGUUGAAAACGUAGCAAAAUUAUUCAAUUUUUCCUUUUUCUCUUAAUGAGUAUCACCUUGAUAAAAGGUUAAUGAAUUAAUGGUGAAAGGUGUUCAACGAAUUGUUGUUUAUGUGAGUGUGGUGGCCAGAAUUGGUGAUUAUCCGACGAGGAUCGUGAAUCUGUGCAACAAUUAGUGAAGGAAAUCAAUAGUGAAGUGAGAGUGAAGUGGAAUUCAAUUCUCUUCCAAAAACACAAGUCUUGUCCGUAGUGCCAAUGGAUGAAGUAUAACAGUAAAGUGAAGUUCAAUUCAAUUGGAUCUUCAUUAAUGGUGUUGAGAAAUGAUUAUGGUAUUAAAAAAAAAGAUUACGGAAGAAAGAUUGUCGAUAUUUUCGGGGAGGAGAUUCUGAAAGAUGAAAUAUCGUGAUUUUGAGCGACAAUAGUGGAGUUGCAUGCAUUAUAUAUAUAUAUAUAUAUAUAUAUAUAUAAUAUUAAAAGUGUAAAGACCCUUAGAAAAAUGAUUUGAACUUUUUGCCUUUCAUUAAAAGACUCCAUAUAAACAAAAUCAUCUUUUCAUUACUUUUCUUCAAUUAUUAUAUCAUUAUUUUUAUAACAUUAAAUAUUAACUAUAAUAAAUAUAUUAAAAAUUAAAUAAAGAAGGUUUUCUUAUUAUGGUUAAAUUCCUAAGUUUAUGAAGUUUUUAUUUUAGGUAAAAUGUUAGUUUCUAUUAAUUGUAGUACUCUUUAUAUAUAUAAAGAGAAGGCACCAACAUCACCAAAAUAGAAAAAAAAAAAAAAAAAAAAAAAAAAAAAACACAUUAAUUCUUUUAGGGAAUCUUUCAAAAAUAGCUACAUUCUGUUGGAAAACUUAACUUUCAUUGUCAUAUUUUAUAUAAUUACCAUUUAUAGCCAUUGCAUUCAGUUUACGCCCGCUGUAUUCGAUUUUAUCAAUAGUCUGUAUUCAUAUAAAAUAUAAAUACAGUACCAUUUAGCUGUUGUAUUCGAUUCACAGCCACUGUAUUCACUUUUACUUAGUGGUCUAUAUUCAUAAAAACAUAAAUAUACUACAUAUUUAGUCUUGCCAAAAACACUACCAUUUUUUUAUUUUUAUUUUUUUAUAUUUCGUCUUUUUCGUGCUUUCCUCAUUUUUUCUUCUUCUUUUUUCUAAUUUUUCCUAUUUUUAUUUUUUUCGUUUUUUUAUAUAUAUUUUUUUCUCUCUUAUAUCUCUUUCUUUUUUUUUUCCUUUUUGUACUUAUUUUCUUUAUCAUUUUUUUGUUCUAUUUUAUAUUUUUUGUAUUUUAAAAAAAUAUAACUACUCGAGCACAAAUCAUUGAUGAUAACAUAAAUACCAUAAUUAUUUAUCUAUUUGUAGUCACACCAUCAUUUAUAUUUUUGUAUUCAUUGAUUCAACUAUAUUUGUAUUUGUACUUUAAAGUUCGCACUUGUAUUUGUAUUUUGUAGUUCGCGUUUAUAUUUGUAUUUUAUAGUUCGCACUUGUAUUUGUAUUUGUUAGUUCGCACCAUCAUUUAUAUUUUAUAUAAUUCGCACUUGUAUUUUAAAGAACUGUUUUGUAUUUGUAUUUUAUAAUUGACUGUAUAUUAUAUUGGAUUAUAUUUGUAUUAUGACUUUAUUGUGUUUGUAUAUUUAGAUUAUAUUUGUAUUUGUAUUCUAUUUUCGUCAAUGUCUUUUUACUUUUAAAGAAUUAUUUUGUAUUUGUAUUUGUAAGUUGAUUGCAUAUUGUAUUUAGCCAUGAUUAUGUACAAUUUAUCAUUUGUAUUGUAUACAAACAAGUAAAUACAUUAAUUGUAUUUUCUUGAUUCUAAAAUAUAUAAAUAUGCAAUGUAUCAUUUGAUACAAAUGUACCAUUUUGUAUUUGUAUGUCAAAAUUAUUAUUCGUAUUUAUAAAUAAAUAAAUAUCACUUGAUAAAAAUAUAAUUACAAAUAAAUGAAACCAACGAUUUUAAAAAUACAAAUACAUAUUGUAUUUUUAUAAAAAUUUGAAUUGUAUUUAUUUGUAUCAAUAAAUACAACUCGUAUAAAUAAAUACAAACAAACAUUCGUAAAAAGAAAAUCAAUCGUUCUUUUUCAAUAAUUAAAAAAUACAAAUGAUAGUUCACACUUGCAUCUAUAUGUUAAAGUUCACAUUUGUAUUUGUAUUUUAUAGUUUUUACUUGUAUUUGUAUGUUAUAAUUCGCCUUUGUAUUUAUACUUUAUAGUUCGCACUUAUAUUUCUGUUUGCUAGUUCGUACAAAUGAAAAUAACAAAAAAAUAAAAAGAAAAAAAAGGAGAAAAAUGUGAGGAAAAAUACAAAAAAGAAGGAGAGUAAUAGAAAAUAGAGAAAAAAUAAAAAAAUAGAAGGAGAAAAAAUAAAAAGAGAAAAAGGAAAAAUAAAAAAAUAUAAAAUAAAAAAAGACAACGAAAAAGAAAAAAUUGAAAAAAAAAAAAAAGAAAGAGAAAACAAAAAAGGAAAAGAAAAAAUGAAGAAAAAAAUUGAAAAAAAGAGUAAUAGAAAAUAGAGAAAAAAAUAAAAAAUGGAGAAAAAUAAAAAGAAAAAAGAAAAAAAUACUAAAGAAAAAAAAGAAAACGAAAAAAUUGAAAAAAGAAAAGAAAGAGAAAACAAAAAAAAAGGAAAAGAAAAAAAGAAGGAAAAAACUGAAAAAGAAAAAAAAAGGAAAGACAAAAUGAAAAAAAGACAACGAAAAAGAGAAAAUUAAAAAAACAAAGAAGAAAGAGAAAACAAAAAAAAAAAGGAAACGAAAAAAUCAAGAAAAAAACUAAAAAAAAAAAAGAAGAAGAGUAAUAGGAAAUAAAGAAAAAAAAAAGGAGAAAAAAUAAAAAAGGAAAACAGAAAACGAAAAAAUUGAAAAAAGAAAAGAAAGAGAAAACGAAAAAAAAAAAAGGAAAAGACAAAAACAAGGAAAAAACUGAAAAGGGAAAAAAGGAAAGUAAUAGAAAAUAGAGAAAAAUAAUACAUGAGAGAGGCUAUGAAUUGUAAUUAUGAAAAAUUAAUAGGCAAGAGGGGGUUAUGAAUUGUAAUUAAUUGAAACUAGGCUAAAUAAGGUAAUUAGAAGUCAAUAUUGGCUAAGUUAUGUAAUUAUUCCUUAAAUUUCCCCUCCCAAAAGGAACAAAAUGGCAGGAAUUCUUUUUCAUAUAAAAUAGACUAGAAAGUUGGCUAAGAAAAUUUAAAAUUGGCAAAAAAAUAGCAUAAACCCUUUAACACGUCCAAUAAAUUAAAUAUUGGCAAAAAUAUGGAAAGAACUAUAUUAUUAGGGUUUUCUUACCCUUUUUAAUGUAAUUGUUAAUUUAUGCUCCUAUGCUUCUUCUUUUUUUUCUCUUUUCACGAUUUUAACUUAUUUUUUUCUGAUCUUGCGCCUUUUUCUUCUUGGUAUUUAGUUCUGCCUUAUGGAUUUCUAUGUUUUGAAAACUUUUAUUUGUUGGAAGCUAGCUCUUCUAGGUUUUGGAAGUCACCUCUUCUAAGUAUGUCAAUUAGAAGGAUUGGUGACAUUGACCAACAGAUAGGAUCAAACAUCAUUAGAAUACUUGAUUAAGUUAAUUGUGGACUUGAUUAAUAUUUUCAAAACUUUCUAAUCUUUUCAAAAAUACAAAUCAACCNNNNNNNNNNNNNNNNNNNNNNNNNNNNNNNNNNNNCAAAAUUUCUCCCUUCAACCUCCGGCGACAAAUAGUCGGGUGAGUUUCUUUUCAACUUUCAACCGUCAAUCGACGUGAAUACUUCUCCGGCGACAACAACUUUGAGUUUUUCAUCCUUCCAUUUCCUUUUUCACAGGUAAAAAAUUAUGAAGAAACAGAGGAACUUGAGCCAACUACUCUUCUGGUAUUGAAAUGUGGACUGAAUAAAACCCUAAUUUCUAGCAUUUCUUCAUUCCUUCUUCUUGUUGUCGUACUGUUGAUUCGAAUUUGUUAGUGAUUUUUUGUCACAGUUGAUGUUCUUAGUAUGUAUGUGUGUGUGUGUGUGAUGUGUUGGUGUUGCUGGGUUGAUUUGUUGUUUGUCUUGGUAGAAAUGGUAUUACAACAGUUGAAACAUAUGAUGUAAUAGAUGAAACAUAUGAUGCAAUAGAUGAAAAUCUUAUGCAACAGAUGAAAAAUUUGAUGCAACUAUGAAAAUCUGAUGCAACAGGUGAACAAUCUAACAAUUCAUUCAUUUGUUCGGACAGACGACUCUUCUGUUUGGAAGAAAUCUAAACAAUAUUGAUCCAAUAGAUAACUGAUUAGUGAUCUAUUUUUAUUCUUUCCAACAGUUUAAUCUUCAUUUUACAACAGAUUAGGACUGUUUUUAUUCUUUCCAACGGUUUACUCAACCGUUACAAUAGGUCGGUUAUCUGUUGCAAUAGAUAACAUACCUGGUGCAAUAGAUUAGUGAUCUAUUUUUAUUCUUUCCAACAGUUUAAUCUUCAUUUUACAACAGAUUAGGACUGUUUUUAUUCUUUCCAACGGUUUACUCAACCGUUACACAAUUAUAAUCUAUGUUAUGUUCCUGUUAAUUUAAGAUAACAACAGAUUAGUGAUUUGUUUUUAUGGUAUUCAAUGGAUUACUCAUCUGUUGCAACGGGUCAGUUAUGUGUUGCAUCAGAAAAAUACCAGGUGCAACAGAUAGUGUUGUUUUUAUGGUUCCCACGAAUUACUCAUUCGUUGUAACAGGUCGGUUAUAUGUUGCAACAGAUAACAUACCUGGUACAACCGAUUAGUUGUCUGUUGGAACUGUUAUAUUAUUGUUAUGCAUUAAUCAAUUAUAAUCUAUGUUAUGUUCCUGUUAAUUUAAGAUAACAUGGCUCCCAAAAGAAAAGAAAUCAAAUCAAGUCCAAGUAAAGGAGCAAGUACAGUAGCUCAGCUACAUCCACCACUCUGUGAUCUUGCUUUACAAGCGUUAUCUCAAUCAAAAGCAGAAGAUAAUGAACACGGGAAGAAGGAAUCUUUCAAAAGAGAUGAUCCAAAUACUAAUAGCCCUUCCACAGAAGAAUUGGUCAAACCCUUCAGCAUUGAUCGCUAUCCUGUGAGAAUGCAGUGCGAUGGUGCCACAGAUUUAACGGGUGAUCUCGUGGUUAAGUCAGUCAUAGGAAAAUAUUUUGACGCCUUCAGAAAAAUACUUCGAGAACAAAAUUGAAUUCUUAUUUCAGGGAAAGCUGCUUUGGGCAAUAUCUUGAUUUGUCGGAGGACAACAAUGCUCGUUUCUAGAUGAAAAUGGUAUAUGAUCUUCUCAAGCGCAGGUUUAUGUAUGAAAAUAAAGAUAAGAUGGAUGAGGUAUGGAUAAAUUACUGUGGCAUGCCUGUUUUUUUUGUUGAGAGGAGUUUCCCAUAGUUACCGGACUAAAAUGUUAUCCUCCUUCUUCUUCUCAAGUUAUACCUACUCUGACCCAAAAAAAGCACCCCGCACACCCAAAAAAAAAAAGGCAAGUCGAGUGAUCGUGAUGACCUGGGGUCCAUUGUUGGUCCAAGCUUCAAAAAUAAAAAUCUGAUUGAAGCGUUGAAAGGUAAAGGACUUUCAAAGAAGCAAAAGCAAUCAUUGUGCUUGGUUUGGUUUGUACAUAAUUUUCAUGGGCCUUCAUGGUAAAUAUUUCUUUUAUUAUGGUAUGAUUAAUCAUUUUUUAUUCAAUAAUGCUUUUAAUUUAUUGGCAUUAUAUUAUAGGCUUGGGCAUUUGAAGUCAUUCCUUAAUUGAGACAACAAGUGAACUACCAGGAAGAAGUUUCCUGUCCAAGAAUUCUGAGAUGGUUGUCGGCCAAAACCGAUAAAAAUGCAAAAUUUCUUGAUCUUUUCAAUCCCUCCAAGGAAGUAGUAAGUUCAAUUCUAAUCAAGUUUUUUUUUAAUUACUGAUUAAAUGAUUUCAUCAUCAUUCUUAAUAUAUGUACCGAUUUAUUUUAGAUUGUCCAUCCGUGGCUUAUUCCGACCAAUCGAGAGUUGAAGAUGCCAUUUUUUCUUACUUUACAGUCUGUGCAAACUUUAUCGGACCCUAAGGUCGUUGAUGGAAUAAAAAUGAAAUUGUUUGGAGCAACAACCAUCACAAGAAAAACAAUUUUGGAGGGUGGGUCUAAUGAUGCUCUUCUUAUAGUUCUUGAAACAACAAGCCAUUAUGAUUAUGAUCAUAAUGGUUAUACAGAUUUUUCUUCAGAUUUUGCCGCAUCUAGUGAAUGUUCUUCAUGCAAAUGUCAAAACUGCAAGGCAAAACAUGAUGGAGUGAUUAAUCCUAUUAAUGCACUAACUGCUUCUGUAAAGGAAAUGACACCUAAGAGGGGUGUCAUUCCAUCAAAGAGGAUUUCAUAUCCAGACACUCCACUAGAGAUCAAGUGGCUAAGAGGAGAAGGAAAGACACUUCCAAGGCAUCAUCAAUCAUCAAAAAAAUAAGAUUACAACGCCUUUGUUUUGUCUUGCACCGAUUUUCAGUGUUCAAGGGCCACAGAAGAGCAGCAUGAGCUGAAGAAGGUGAAUGUACAUCAUCUAUUCCAAAAAAUAAACAGGCACAUAUCUAUUUCAACAGAUGAUCAUCUGCUGAAAAUUAUCAAACAGAUAUAUAUAUCUUUUGCAACUGUUGUCUAACCAGUUGUAUCAGAUUCAUUAUCUGUUUCAAUAGAUGAGUCUUAUGUUGCAACAGAUGGAUUAUCUGUUUGAAAUUAUCAUACUUCUCUAAUUUACCUAUUCGAAUUUAUCCCAAUAGAGAAUCCAUCUGAUGUAACUUAAGACUCAUCUGUUGCAACAAAUGGAAAAUUUAUUAUAUGUCUCUACUUAGGAUUGACAAUUCUGGCUUUCUAGGUAGAUGUCACAGCUACUGUCAAAGAGCAUAAUAUGACAGUUGAUAAUCCAUCAACUGCUUCCAAAGAUGAAGAAAAAGUGGAGCCUGUCAGUUUGGGCGAACGGAAGAAUUACCCAUUUGAAGGGUUCAACAUCUCGGAUGAGGCUCCAAAAAACUAACACAGUUAAUCAACGACUAUUCAGAAUGGAUUGUCGAUGGGCUGUUAAAGCAUCAUGCCGGCAGGUACAUAAAUCAAUUUUAUAGAUAUUGGUUUAUACAAUUCUUGUUAUAAGAACCUGUCAUUAACACAUAUAAAUCAUCAUGUAGAAAAUAAAAUGAUGAGAGCUACAAAGUGAACGAAUCGAGUCUUGGUUAUGAUAUAUUCGACUUUAUUGUUGCACAUCCCGAAACAAAGAAUUGGUUUUAUUUGAUGUCACAGCCCCAAACUUGCUGGAAUGAUGAGGUUUAAAUGCCAUACAUAUUACUAUUAAUUAAUACUUCAUUUAAUUUCAUCUACGUAUAAACUUUUUCGUCACAUAAUUUGAAAUGUUUGAUAAGAUGUGCAGCACAUCGAUGUCAUAUUUUACUACCUCCAAAAAAAGGCCAAGUUGCAAACACAAGAACAAUACAGAUACACAACAGGCAAUUGCUUGUACAAAGUUUACAUCAAUAAUGCCUACGAUAGGUAUUGUCAACAGCAGUCAGAAUUUUCCCAAAACGAGGAAUGCAUAAUCAAUCAAAGGUUUUAGUAUUUCGGCUGGCUUACCUUGGCAUUUAGUCGAUGAAGUGUACAUCCCAAUCAAUUGUGGUGAUGAAUUCUAUUGGGUGUUGGCUGUCGUCGUUCUAAAAGAGAGGUGCAUCCAAGUUUAUAACUCGAUGUCGCGAAGGAGAAGUUUUGGGCCGUCGUCUGAGAUAUAAAAGCUGGCCAAAAUAUUGCCUUCUUACCUUGAUAUGAGUGGCUUUUUGAAUCAAAAAGUUCGUACUGAUUGGUCGACGAUUGAGAAAUAUGUUGACGGAAUUGCUCAACAAACCAUUGGUAGCCUGUAAGUUUAAGUGUCAUGAUUUAGUUUCAUUUCACAAAUUUCACAAUGCUUGCAUUAACUGCAAGAUGUGGAUUAUCUUUUUUUUAUAACGUAGGGAUUGCAGUCCUUUUGUUGACACCUAUACCGAGUAUUUGAGCGAUGAAUUACAAGUACCAAAUAAUGGACUUGAUGUCGGAUUACUCCGCAAAAGAUAUGCUGUUCUUUUAUGGAAAUAUGGAGAAGCAAAAACUCAGAAACCGUACACAACCGAUGUUAAAGAUCCACGAUGACCAAAGCCGAAUUCCAUAGCACUGGAUGAAGAACAACUUGUCCAUACUGAUUAGAUCUUUAUAGCUUGAGUCCGUGAAUGUAAUAACAUAUCCUCCUUGGUUUAACUUGUUGAUCUAUUUGUAGAGUAGAUCGUUUGUACCCAUAAUGAUUUUUUUUACAUUUCAUUUAUUUGUUGAGUUAUUUCAUGUAAUUUCCGACGGCUUCGAUUUAUUUUAUUCUAUCUAUGAAUAUAAUUAAUUCUGAGUUUUGAACAUAUUAAUUGAAAUGGAGUACUAGAUUCAAAUAUUGCAACAGAUAAUACAUCUGCUGCAAUAGAUGACAUAUCUUAUUAGACAGAUUUAGAUAUAUGUUGCAACAUGAGAUUCAACACGUAGGUCAUCUGCUGGAAAUUAUAUAACUGGUCUUCCUACUUUUUUUAUUUUCUCCAAUAGACUAUCGAUCAGUUGUAAUAGAUAAGUUAUAUAUUGCAAUAGAUCAUAAAUUUAUUGCGACAGACAGAUGGGGAAUAUCUACUUAACGCAACAGAUGACCAACCUAUUCCAUCAGAUAAUCAAUCUGUCACAAUAGGUACUAUAUUUGUUAGAUAUAAAAUCUGUUGCAUUAUAAAAAUUCAACUUUGCCAGACAUAAAAAUUAUUGCCCCUACAUGUAUAGUGAAGUAGCUUGAAAUGAAAAUUUAUUAUCGUGUUCGUCUCUGUCUUUGUACAUGUUCUUUUUUAUACACGGGCUCCAAACAUUUAGUUAGUACCCUAUAUGCCCAGACCCAUUGCAUCUUUCCCACAAUGGUGUCGCACACACUGAUCAUUUGUGUGCCGGUCAGCAAACACUCGAUGUAUGCAAGCGAGUACGGCCUGCACGCUGCACCGGUUGUAUUUUUUGGCAGCUGGAUGUUCUUAUUUUGACCUUUAAAAACCCAUGAUUCCUUCGCCAAGACUUCAGCCGGCAAAUGAUCCAUCAGCUUACUCUGUGUCAACAACUUGGGCAACAACUUCAAGAGUAGUUGCAUGUGGGUUAAAAACAUCUUCUCACUGAACACAGGUAAGUUGCAGUCAUAAAUCUUAAUCUUUCCCUCAUAUAGUAGUAUCUCAACAGUGAGAAAAUGGGUGACAUCUACGUUCAUGACUGCAAGGAUUCUCUUUGCCUUGGUUCAGCUUUUACCGUGUGGAUAUGGCCACUUUCUUCUAACAUAUUUAAUCGCUUCUUCAUCCCAUUGGAACGUAGAACCUAACUGAUCAAACUACUGAAAUCAGAUUCUUACAGAGUUUAGCGUACCUAUCCUUGAAAGUAUUGUAAAAGUUGAGGUCCAUUAUCCUAACGGCAGCAUCAUAAGCAUCCGGGUACACUAAUUGCCUGCCCCUCAUGAGGCAAAGAAUUUCAUCAACAUACUGUGGUAUAAAAAGAUAAUUUUUAAAUAGGUUACUAAUUGUAAAGAAUAAAAAUACAGUCGAAAGAAUUCGAUGCAGAGGGUUCUCUGAAUCAGUUCACAGAUUACCCAACCAAUGCAACUUAUGCAACAGAUGUGUAUUAUGUUGCAACAGAAUACCAAGUUUUCGCAACAGAUUACACAUCUGUUGCGUAGAUUCUUCUUCAUGGAGUAGAUUGGAUGGGUAGGUUAGCAAAAGUAAACUUACCUUGUCCUCAUACAACACGUACAUAUUUGCCAUAUUCGAGAAGUCUUUGGCAGCAAAUGAAUACAUGGUGUAUUCUUUUUGAACCUUCAUCUUGAUGAAUUCUUCCAGUUCCUUCUUUUUGUCUUUGCCAAGCGCCGUCCACCUUCUUUGACGACCCCUGAACUUCAACAACUAUUGGAGCCAAGGGAGUUGCAAUUUUUGCUGGUUUCAGAAUGGAGAGAAUUUGUCUAAUUUUUCUUUUCUUCCUUCUAACCUCCCCUGUAAGAGUGCAUGGCUCCCUCACCUCGUUGGAUGAUAUGACACCCCUUCUGGAUUUCAACUUGUCAGCAGCUUCAGCAAUAGCCUCUAGCUUGUUGAGUAGUUUAUCCUCUCUAUCCUUGCACACUUUGCAUUUGCAAUGAGAACAUGAGGGUGAGAAGGGGUGAGAGGGACCACUAUAAGGGUGGGAGGGACUGGUGUAGGGGUGACAGGAAGGAUUUGUGCAAAGGGUGUUUUCAAACAUAUUUAUUUUUUUCUACGCACCAACAUGCUCAUAAUCACAAUUGGCAGCAGCAGGAUGGCUGCCACCUUCACAAACAACUCCACCGGUAACACCCCCAGAAGAAGACCCAGAUCUGUUGCAGUUUGAGUUUGGUCGUGAAGAGCUUCAACAUUAGACUGACCUUACCUAACUUAUCUUCUUAUGGAUGUUGCUCCAUCCAAUUCCUUCUUUAUUAACUCCACCAUUGGGUCUUCUUUUGUAUCAACAAGACCCAGAGUAAGAAAAGAAGUCAUCCCCAGCUCAUCAAUGGUAGACACGAUCCAAAGAUGCACAACCUAUAAAAAAUAACAGGAGGAAUUUAAAUCAUAUAAUAAUAAUUUACAGUUAGUUGGGUUACAUGGGGAUCGGGUUAUGUUAACACAUCCAACUUAUGCAACAAAUGAUCUAGCUACCGUAACAACUGAUCUGUAUAUUAAAACAGAUUGAUAGUAUAUUACAUCAGAAUCCCAUCUGUUGCAUAAUUUACAGUAGAUGGGUAAUUUGUUGAGUAAGGUUUAGAGAAUAGAGCAAUAUAUGGUUAAUCUGUUGUGAAAUAUGGAUCAUCUAUUGCAAUAGAUUACCCAUCUGUUGUACCAGUUAUAGUUGACGGGUAAUCUGUUAUAAUAGAUGGAAUAUCUGUUUCAAUAUCUUUUUUUGAGGAAAAUUAUUUUAGUUGAAAGAAAACGUACUGCAUUAUUCGGAGGGUUAAAGAGAUCAGCCUCAUUAAUAUUUUUUUUGCUGGUCUCUACUGCAGCCAACCACCUAAGGAUCCUUGGAUGAGAAACCUUAUCUGAGUAAUCCGUGAAAUGCUUUUGGAGGGGAGUAAUGGCUUCACAUGCCCAAGCUUAAAAAUUAUAAACAGGAAGCAAGCAAAAAAAAAAGUCACAAGUAUAUUCAAUAUAAAUUAAUGAAUGAGUAAAACUAGUGAUCAAUUUUACCAUGAAAGCCCAAGGAAAGCCCUAUAAUGUGGUCGUCUUUGGCUUUAGCUCUUUUAGUAAAUAUUUGGCAGUCAAGUAGUAGCUAUCGUAGCUCUAGGGAUAAUCGUUGAAUUUCCCAAAAUCAUCAGCAAGCACAAACAAAUCACGUUCUAUGACUUUCUUGAUGUCUCUUGCUAAUAAAAUGGAAUGGACAAAUCAAACUAAGCACAAUUUCUUCCUGUAGUGCUUUGGUAUGUCUUUAUUCUUGAGAUCCGCUAUCAAAUCCUUCACUUUGUAGCUAGGUCCAACAAUGCCUAACAACCCAUCUUUUUUUACCUUGCGUUUGUUGGACCCUUUGUGGGGUGUUUUCUUGAUGGCAGGUUCUUCUGGACGAUCGCAUCUCAAGCCCGCCACAAUGGAAAACUCUUUCAAUCCAAAACAAACCGGCAUGCCACAGUAGUUGAUCCAGACUUCAUCCAUCUUAUUUAUGCCCUCCUUCAAACCUCCAUCAUCCCCCGCAUACAUGAUCCUGCGCUUGAGAAGGCCAUAUACUAUGAUCAUUGAGAAACGGAGAGGGCAGGGCCCAGACAGCUCAAGAAAGUGUGCAAAACAGCUCUUCUUGAAAAGUCCAUCUAUGUUUUCCUUCUUCAUAAUACUCCUAAGUUCAUCAAAAGGUUUCCCCAACUGACAUUUAAGUACAAGAUCACCAAAUACUGCAUUAGGGUUAUUCAUCAGCAUCGCAACUCGAAACUUGUCAAUACUAAUGGUUUUGACAGAAUCACGCUGGAAUUUCGAUAUUAUUUCAUGCCCCAUUGGUGAGGAGGAGUUAUCACUUUACUCGGCUUCAUUUUGCCCUGACUAAGAUUGUUUUGGAAGUUCCUCCGAAUAUAUCUGUACUCUAGCUUUUUUUGUUUGGUGAUCGAAAGUUGAUCCACUUUCUCCACUUUCAGUUUCUUUUCUUUUGGGAGACAUCUUUUAACUACAAACAAAAGAAAAACAAAAAAUACGUUGCAUUUGCUGUCUGCAUAAUUUUUUAAAAAAAGGUGAGACAAAUUUCAAUAAAUUAUUCUUACCACAUAACCAAAAAAAAUACUCCAACGGACAACCCAUAAGUUGGAAUAGAUGGGGAACCCGAAUCUGUUUGAAGACCAAUUCAAUAUCUUCCCACAGAAAUUCCACCUGUUUCAACAGGUGGAGAAAUUUCAAUAAAUUAUUCUAUGCCACAUUACAAGAAAAUACUCCAACGGAUAACCCAUCAGUUAGAACAGAUGGGGAAUCUGUUUGAAGACCUAUUUAAUAUCUCCCAAUAGAUCUUCCAACCAUUGCAAUAGAUGUACCACCACCACCACAACCAAUUCCACCAAGACCACCACCAAUGCCACCAAUACCAAUACCAAGACCAGCGACACCACCACCAAAAAACAUAAAUACCAACACCACCAACAACAGCCACCAACAAUACCACAAACACCAUCCAAUAAUACCACGAUAGUCAACAAAACACUGAGAGAAAAACUAGGAUUUUCUCGGGUGCUUCCUACUUUUUUAGCAUCAAAACUCAAAAUUGUUAACCCAUUCUCGAAAAUAAUAUAACUAAAAGUCUUCUUUUUUAUCAUUAACUAAAAAGCCCUAUUUUUUAGAAUAAAGAACAAAUGUAGAACUCUUUUCGAACUCUAUUACAUGCGAAAAUAGAGAAAACAACGGAUACAAGCGGGAAUGAAGUCAAAAAAACAACUAUAUGUAGUCGUAAAUGGGAAGAAAUCAACCUGUUUUGAAGGGUUGAGCAAUAUGUUGAGUAGUUGUUAUUUGUAUUGUUGAGAGGGAGAAGACACCCCGAAAGAGAGAGAGAGAAGAGUGAGAACUUAAGAUUUAAAAUGAAAAAAAUUUCAUGCAAAUGGAUGAUUUGUAUGGGUUGAUUUGUAAUUUUGGAAACGAAUGACAAGUUUUGAAAUUGCUAAUUAGGUCUGAAUUGAUCUUAAUUAAUUUUAAAAAUUUUAAAAGAUAUAGUUUUUAAAACAUUGAGUUGAUGAGAACUCAUUUCAACUCAGAGUGAUCGAUCGACGACUCGGGUUGGGAUGAACGCAAUACCAACGCCAUGGAAUUGUAAAGACUCAAUUUAUUUUGUAGUUGACCCUGCGAGCUCAUUAAUUCAUCCCUAGUCUCACCUAUAUCAACUUAGGUACUAUCACUAUCCUAACAUUGAGUUGAUGAGAACUCAUUUUAACUCAGAGUGAUUGACCCUGCGAUCUCAUUCAUUCAUCCCUAGUUCUACCUAAAUCAACUUAGUUACUAUCACUAUCCUAAUAUUGAGUUGAUGAGAAAUCAUUUCAACUCAGAGUGACCGAUCGACAACUCGGGUUAGGAUGAACACAAUACCAGUGUCAUGCAAUUGCAAAGACUCGAUUAGAUUUGUAGUUGACCCUGAGAGCUUAUUCAUUCAUACCUAUUUCCACCUAAAUCAACUUAGGUACUAUCACUAUCCUAACAUUGAGUUGAUGAGAACUCAUUUCAACUCAGAGUGAUCGAUCGAUGACUCGGGUCGGGAUGAACGCAAUACCAAUGCCAUGCAAUUGAAAAAACUCGAUUGGAUUUGUAGUUGAUCCUACGAUCUCAUUCAUCCCUAGUUCCACCUAAAUCAACUUAGGUACUAUCACUAUCCUAACAUUGAGUUGAUGAGAACUCAUUUCAACUCAGAGUGAUCGAUCGAUGACUCGGGUCGGGAUGAACGCAAUACCAAUGCCAUGCAAUUCCAAAGACUCGAUUGGAUUUGUAGUUGAUCCUACGAUCUCAUUCAUCCCUAGUUCCACCUAAAUCAACUUAGGUACUAUCACUAUCCUAAUAUUGAGUUAAUGAGAACUCAUUUAACUUAGAGUGAUCGAUCAAUGACUCGGGUCGGUAUGUACACAAUACUAACGCUAUGCAAUUGCAAAGACUCGAUUGGAUUUGUAGUUGACCCUGCGAGCUCAUUCAUUCAUCCCUAGUUCCACUUAAAUCAACUUAGGUACUAUCAUUAUCCUAACAUUGAGUUAAUGAGAAUUCAUUUCAACUCAAAGUGAUCGAUCGACGACUCGGGUUGGGAUGAAUGCAAUACCAAUUUCAUGCAAUUACAAAGACUCGAUUGAAUUUGUAGUUGACCCUGAAAGCUCAUUCAUUCAUCCUUAAUUCCACCUUAAUCAAUUACAAUAAAAUCUGUUGCAACAAACGACUAAGCUGUUGAAAAUUUUCAAAUAGGUACAUAUAUGUUGCAAUAGAUGACAUAUCUUAUUUAAUUAUAAAAUAGAUAUUUUCAUCUGUUGUGACAGAUGACUGAGCUGUUGGAAAUUUUCAAAUAGAUAUUUAUAUCUAUUGUAAUAUAUGACAUAUCUAAUUUUAUUAAUUAUCAAAUGAAUAUUUUCAUCUGUUGUCACAGAUGAUUGAGCUGUUGGGAUUUUUAAACAGAUAUUUAUAUUUGUUGUAACAGAUAACUGAGCUGUUCGAAUUUCUAAACAGAUAUUUAUAUAUGUUGUAACAGAUGACAUAUCUGUUUGAAAAUUGUUUUUUCUCUUUUAAUUUUAAAGCAAGCAGCUUCUGGUCUGAGUAGAUAAUAUCAAGUAGUAGUACUUACUACUAAAGGCGGUAAAAAAUGUUUCUUGGAUAUCUCAAAAGUGAGUUCAUUGAACAGUCUUGUCUUGUAUUUUCCAUGUCAGUAAUCUUAUUCUUACUCGUGCCCCUCAAAUUAUUAAUGAAUAUUGAAAACCACCACGUCUACUUACACAAUGCAUCUAUAAAAAUUAUCUCAUCUCUUCCUUCAGCUGCAGUUUAUUUUAUUCAACUCUUAUCUUUUUGUCUCUCCUCUUUAGGGUCACAUCCUUUUUUCUCUCUUUUCUGUUCUCUUUUCUUCUCAUAAAGAUCUUUUCAGAUCUAAACCCAUCCAUAUCUUUUCUCGACUUAAAUUUCUGUUUUGAUCCCCUUUUUAAUAUUAAGGUAUGGUCUAUUAUUGCUCUUUCAUUCUCUUCUUCUUCUUUGCAAGUUAUUUACAUCUAUUUUUUAUUUAAUUAAUAUUUACCCAUAUCAUAUUUAUUAAAAAAAAUUAAGGAACUUGUAAGUGUUGAAUAAACAAUCCGAGAAUUUUUAUUACAAUAUAAGAAAAAAGUCAUCUGUUGGGAGAAGUUUAAAAGCCUUGUUGGCAGUAUCAUUUUUUUUGUAUGUAUUUUGUUUGUUUCAUUAUUGUUGAUGCAGUUAUUGAUGUUGUUGGUGGGGUUGGUGUUGUUGGAACUUGUGGUGUGGUGUUGUUGAUGGUUCUGGAACAAAGAAUGUUGCUUCUUUGUUGUUGAUGAUGUUGUUGGAACAAAUAUUUUUUUUAUUGAUGUUUAUUCUAUUGUUGAUGUUGCAACAGAUGGAGAAACUGUUGAAACAAAUAAAACCACCAGAAAGGCUGGUUUGAUGUAUUACAUCAGACUCCACAUCUGUUGCAACAGACUCCACAUCUGUUGCAACAGAUUCCACAUCUUUUGCAACAGAUGGAUAAUGUUAUUUUUGUGACAUCAAUUUUUUUCCUCUUCUUUAUAAAUAUAAGGAACUGACAGUUGAUCAACUUUUGACGGACUAUCGCAAGAGGCUGUAGUAAAUAUGGGAUCGGAGUAAUAAGCUGCUUGCAGAUGGAACCAUUUCCUAUGUAGGAGAUAUGUACUACUGAUAAUGUUAUCGUGGAAACACACACAGAGUGCACUAAUUUUAUAAAUGAUGUUUUUACUGAUUAGUCAUAGAUCGUUCAAACAAGAUGUAUGCAGUUUUACGAUUAAGUUUGGUAGGUCCAAACUGAUAAGGCUGAGGACCAUGAAUAUAGUUCUGAUAGCCUGUUAAGAUUUAAUAUCGGUUGUUGCUCAUGUUUAUUUGUGAAGCAUUGUGAAGGGAUCUAUUUUUUGUGUCAUUGUAAAGAGAUUCAAUAGCGAUUGGACUAACUUUUAGGGUGUAUUGGACCCUUAGAGGGCCUUCGAAGCUUAGCACUGUAUCUAACAAGAACGAGAAACCAGUAUAGUUUUUUCCCUAGCCAAAAUUUAUAUGGUUGGAUUGCUCGCUCGGGGUGAUGAUUAUAUGCCAGAAUGUGCAGUAGGAAAAUGCUUUCGAAGGAAAAUAGGUGGUUGAUGAAAGACUAUAUCAUCUGAGAGCUAAUUAAAGAAGAGACAUAGGGUAGAUACAACUUCUAACGAAUCUGGCCGGUGGAAUUAUCUUAACAGAUACGAGAUCUGAAUCAAGUGCAAAUAUGAAAGUGUAUCCGGUAAUGUAAUUUCAUCUGUUGUGUCUCUUAAAGAAAAAUAAUGCAUCUGAACACUUUGCUAGGGAUCUGCGUGGUUGGGAUUAUCACCUAGAUAAAAAAUAUAAGAAGACUAAUAAAGAAGCUUCAUAGGCAUCGAGGGUUGAAAUGAUGUACAGCAAGUCUAGAAAACUUAUGCCAACAGAAACUGCAGUUAAAAUAAGGAAUCUAAGCGAAGGCGGAAAAUUUUUGAAUUUUAAAUUUCAUCCCAUGAUUUCUUAUUUGUGUUUCCGAUUAGGUCCACUGUCAUUGACCUGAUCAGAACCACAAACGAUAUUGAAAGGCAAAUAGAGUAUCAUUGCUUCCUUAGCAAUAUGGUCAUAAUUGAUUGUGUUUUCUUGCCUUGACGUGUUUUCAACAUUCCUUGGAGAAGAUCAAAUGCUUGCUAUAGUAUGUGAAUCCCAAUAAUUUUCAAGCUUGCCUCCAGCUUGUUGAUUCUGUAUUCAAGCUGGUCGUUGCCAUCUUCAAAGUUGGUAAAGAGUUCCUCGUCUCUUGUAAGCACGAUCAGGAACACUACCUUCAAAGUUGUGGUAUUCUAGAAGCCCUUCAAAACACUUUUUUCAGAAGCCUUAAAGGAUACAUGGAGGGUCUCUGUGUUUUUUUAGGUCAAAAUAUGUUGAUGCACGUUGACGACAUGGUCCCAACAGUUGAACAACACACUUUUAUCAAGCAUUGCUCCAUGCAUCUUGCUUAACCAAUUUGAUAAAUUAGUAAGCAUGGAGUUAUGUAGAGUGUGCUCU
rnacentral:lncRNA from 1 species